rnacentral:tRNA from 1 species
CACGCAGUGUCAGUUGGUUAGAGCGCGUGCUUCACAUUGAAGCUCAAGGAUUCGCACGAGGCCCCCGGUUCGAGCCCGGGCAGAGUCA